rnacentral:tRNA from 1 species
UGCUCUAGAAGCUUUAUAGAAGCAGUGGUUUUGUAAAUCGAAGAUACCAAAUUGAUGGUCUGGGGUAG